CAGUUCAAUACCCACGGGGAAAUUCAACCCUUCUGAGCUCGGGUCUCGUGGGUUUUGAAGAGUUUUCAAAAGCUCUUCGGAUUCGCGGGGAUUGGGAUCUCUUGGUGUACUUUUUCGUACGGUUAGUCAAACAUCGGUUUUGGAUGUCAAUAAAAAUGGCUGGAGGAAUGUAGCUUCGAUCUCGUAUUGAAGUGUUAUAGCUCUUUGGUAGAUGUGAUGUUUGAGACCGAGGAUUGCAACGGAUACCCCUUCAGGGCUAUUCGUCUGAUCUCUGAUACGUUGCCUUGAUGUUGAAAGCUUGCUUAUGAUGUUAGGGUAUUACGGUCAAAAGGUUAGAACGGAUUAGA
rnacentral:rRNA from 1 species